GACGAACGCUGGCGGCGUUCUUAACCCAUGCAAGUCGAACGGAAAGGCCCUUCUUUUGUUGGGUGCUCGAGUGGCUAACGGGUGAGUAACCCGUGAGUAACCUGCCCUUUACUUUGGGAUAACUUCAGGAAACUGGGGCUCAUACCGGAUAGGAGCUCCUGCUGCAUGGUUGGGGUUUGAAAGUUUCGGCGGUUGGGGAUGGACUCGCGGCUUAUCAGCUUGUUGGUGGGGUAGUGGCUUACCAAGGCUUUGACGGGUAGCCGGCCUGAGAGGGUGACCGGCCACAUUGGGACUGAGAUACGGCCCAGACUCCUACGGGAGGCAGCAGUGGGGAAUAUUGCACAAUGGGCGGAAGCCUGAUGCAGCAACGCCGCGUGCGGGAUGACGGCCUUCGGGUUGUAAACCGCUUACGCCUGUGACGAAGCGUGAGGGAAGGUAAUGGGUAAAGAAGCACAGGCUAACUACGUG
rnacentral:rRNA from 1 species